CAGGCCUUGAGUUCACUUGAGGAGCUAGCAUGGCCAACAAUGCUGACCUGGGCCUCUACCGUCAGGCAGUCCUCCACUUCAUCAGCCGUGAGUCCAUCCAGGGCCAGUUGGCAGGGUGGGGAAGCUCACAGCUUGAUGAGGAAUGACAGGCUGAGCUUGCAGAUCUGAAAGAGUGUGAAGAGAUGCCUCCAAAUCCCAACACUGCCACUUACUAGCUGCAUGACCUUAUACUGGCUAUGCAGUGUCUCUGGACCUCAGCUGGUCUGGUCUGUGAAAUGAAGACAAUAUCUUUCUCACCAGGGUCACAUGGAAAAGAUAACAUCAGUUUUAACACAACACCAGGAGUUAGCCUUGGCUGGCUUACAUUCAGCAUGCCUGGCCCCCUGGGUGCAGGUCUGUGCAGAAGGGACCCAAGCCUUUUAAAAGAAAAACAACAAAUAGUAAAUUUACUUGUAUUUUUGAGAUAGGAUCUUGUUAUAGUCCAGAAUAGCCUUGAACUCUCAAUCCUCCUGCCUCUGUCUCUCAGGCAUGGGCCCAGAUGAGCCCAGCCUUUUGACAGCAACAUCAUCAUUACAUUAUUAUGCUGUGCAUUAAUUUUCUCAUUACUGUAUCCAAAUACAUGAUAAGAAGCUGCUAUGGGAGGAAGGCAAUGAGGUGGGGACAGGCUGUGGUGACAGGAAUGGUGAGGCUCCUUCCUUACAGCUCUGGGGACUAGGAAGUCAAGAUAGGACAGGAAAUGAGCAGGGCUAUUAACCUCAAAGUCAUCCACCCCAACCCCCAGGUCCACUUCCUACACCUAGACUCCAACUCCUUAAAGAUUCCAAAACUUUCCAAUACAGUAACCCCAGGCUGAGGCAGGAGGAUCUUAAGUUCAAGGUCAAUGUGGCUACACAGAAGACCCUAUCUCAACAAACAAACAAACAAACA